rfam:Ferroplasma sp. Type II genomic scaffold AMDT4_FER2S00087, whole genome shotgun sequence.
GCCAUCGUAGCUCAGCAUGGUAGAGCGGCUGAUUUGUAAUCAGCAGGUCGGGGGAUCGAAUCCCUCCGAUGGCU